CUGGUGUUCUCGGUGUCCGGGUUUCAGAUCUGCGGUGGAGUGGGUCGGCUCGUGGCGGUUUCUAUCCCGCUCGGUGUCGAGUGGUGGGUUCCCCUCUCGUCUUCCGGUCAAGUUGGGCUUCGGGGCAGUAGGUCUCUGGAGGCGCGCACGUCGUGGUGAUCGCUACUGUGUGGUCGCGGUAGCUAUGGAGUUUGUUUCGUGCGGCUGCUCGUGUUCUGUCUCUCUGGCUGGCCGUCUAUGACCAACAAAGGGCUUUUCCGGCGGUCGCUCCAGCCUUGUCCUCUCGGGUUUGCCGCUUUUGAUGCUGAUGUGCUCGUCUUCGUAUGGGUGCUCUCUGCUCCUCUACGUCUCUUCAGUUAUCUCGACGGUUCUCCUCCGUUGCUGUUUCGCUGACGAGGCAAUAUGGAGCUAUCAUCGGUUCUCGAUGCUAGCGCGAGACGGGGUUCUUGGAUCUUCGGAUUCCAGUUUCCUCGUAGGAGCCUCGUGUUUCGAUUGGUCAUCCCAGCCACAUUGUCGGACCAUUUGGUAAGUAGUGGGGGGUCAAUCGUUGGUUCAUUUUGUAGGUUUGGUUGGACAACACUGAGAUGUGGCUCUCACCGGACCCGUCUUUUGCUAUGGUUCGCGUUUAUUUCUGAAGUCAAACCAAAUAAGUGUGGUUCUCUCUGCUCAUCGGACUAAGCCAGAUGGUGCUCCUAGGGCUCUCUGGAGUGUGUAGUUGCUGGAAGCUCAUGGUGUUUGGGUUCUCUAGCUGCCGGUGGUGGUUCGCGAUACUCGAGCUUCGUUGACUAAGCUCGACAAAGCUGCGCGGAAUGAUACCAAUCAGUUGGAGUAGCGCUGCGGGCAAGCCAAUAUCUACCAAGGCGUGGUCUCAUGGUAUAUCAAAGGUUUUAAUUUGGUGGAAAAGAAUAAUCACGAAACGGCGGAGGAAGAGGGAAAUACGGCGGACGAGGAGAAGGGUCAUGCGCCGGAGGAGUUUUUGGGAGAGAAAUCUGAGUAUGCUGGACUCUAGCAAACUGGAGGGUGAAGACGAUCAAAAUUCGGUGAAGAGAGAAUUCUGAGAUUGGAGUGUGAAGAAAAUUAAAAAAUUGAUGAAAAGAAAGGUCUAAGGAAGAAAGAGGAUUUGGGUUUCGAAAAUCUAUUCCCUAGAAAAUGAGCGGUAUAGUAAAAACAUUUGGACAAUUUUCAGUGGAAAAACCUUGGAGCCAAAUUAUGCAGCCAAAGUGUAACUAUCCGAAGACAAAUAGUUGCAAAAAUAGUGGCAUGUUGUUAAGGAAAAAUAAAAUAAAAUUUACCACUUAUAUGUAA